CGGAGGUGCGAGCGUUAAUCGGAAUUACUGGGCGUAAAGGGUGCGUAGGUGGUUGAGUAAGUUAUCUGUGAAAGCCCAGGGGCUUAAACCUUGGGAGGGUCAGAUAAGACUAUUUAGCUAGAGUAUGAGAGAGGGUAGUGGAAUUUCCGGUGUAGCGGUGAAAUGCGUAGAGAUCGGAAGGAACACCAGUGGCGAAGGCGGCUACCUGGCUUAAUACUGACACUGAGGCACGAAAGCGUGGGGAGCAAACAGGAUU
rnacentral:rRNA from 1 species